rnacentral:rRNA from 1 species
GAACCUGAUGCAGCCAUGCCGCGUGAGUGAUGAAGGCCUUCGGGUUGUAAAGCUCUUUCGACGGGGACGAUGCUGACGGUACCAGUACUCUAGGCCCCGGGUAACUUCGUGCCAACAGCCGCGGGGAUACCUAGGGGGCAAGCGUUGUUCGGAUUUACUGGGCGUAAAGGGUGCUCAGACUGACUGGUAAGUCAGCGGGGAAAUCUGGCCGCUUAACUCGGAUGCUGCAUCCCCGACUGUAACUUGGGAAUUGGGGAGAGGCUGGUUGGCUCCAGGUGGGAGAUGAAAUUCGAAUUCCUUGUGUAGAACACCAGUGGCGAAAGAUCUGCACUGAUCCCGAACUGACACUGAGGCAUCUGAGCUAGUGGAGACAACGAGAUUAGAUACCCUGGUAAUCAAACAGGAUUAGAUACCCUGGUAGUCA